AUUGAACGCUGGCGGCAUGCUUUACACAUGCAAGUCGAACGGCAGCGCGGGCUUCGGCCUGGCGGCGAGUGGCGAACGGGUGAGUAAUGCAUCGGAACGUGCCCAGUAGUGGGGGAUAGCCCAGCGAAAGCCGGAUUAAUACCGCAUACGACCUGAGGGUGAAAGCGGGGGACCGAAAGGCCUCGCGCUAUUGGAGCGGCCGAUGUCGGAUUAGCUAGUUGGUGGGGUAAAGGCUUACCAAGGCGACGAUCCGUAGCUGGUCUGAGAGGACGACCAGCCACACUGGGACUGAGACACGGCCCAGACUCCUACGGGAGGCAGCAGUGGGGAAUUUUGGACAAUGGGGGCAACCCUGAUCCAGCCAUGCCGCGUGCGGGAAGAAGGCCUUCGGGUUGUAAACCGCUUUUGUUCGGGAAGAAAUCCUCUGGGUUAAUACCCCGGGGGGAUGACGGUACCGGAAGAAUAAGCACCGGCUAACUACGUG
rnacentral:rRNA from 1 species